CUUGAGCGGGUUAAGGGAUGGCAGGUAGCUGGUAAAACAUUAUUUCUAGUUCUGGAGGCUGGGAAGUACAAUAUAAAGAUUCUGGAAGAUGUGGAGUCUGGUGAAGGACGUUGCAGUCUACCUGCAUUGAGUGAACAUGGAUUUGGUAAACAAGUAUCAGCAGGCAGGACAAUAUAGCGCCACUGAAAGGAAGGUCGAGCUGCUGAACCUCCACAGUACCAUACAGAAGGGAAGAUUCCUAGGACUUGUGGCUUAAUUUCUCUGGCUACCGCACUAAUCGCACGCAUCCCGUAAUUACUGUCUUUCUUUCUUCCUCCAGACUGUCAUUCUUCUGUCUCUUAGCUCCAUCCCACAGGCAGACAGUGUCUAUACAAAGGCUGAGCUAGUUAGCCAGCCACCUGAGGGAACGCCGUGCCUCCGCCAUGCUCCCCCGUGCCUUUUUUCCCUCUUUUUUCCCCUUCACUUGUCACUCCUCCCAGCUUCCUUACAAAGAAUAUUUAAUUUGCAUUCUUUCCCAGCUAAA